rnacentral:rRNA from 1 species
UACAGAGGUCCCAAGCGUUGUUCGGAUUCACUGGGCGUAAAGGGUGCGUAGGCGGUCGGGUAAGUCUGAUGUGAAAUCUCACAGCUUAACUGUGAAACUGCAUUGGAUACUAUCCGGCUAGAGGAAUGGAGGGGAGACUGGAAUACUUGGUGUAGCAGUGAAAUGCGUAGAUAUCAAGUGGAACACCAGUGGCGAAGGCGGCUCACUGGCCCGAUACUGACGCUGAGGCACGAAAGCGUGGGGAGCAAACAGG